GACGAACGCUGGCGGCGUGCCUAAUACAUGCAAGUUGAGCGCUGAAGGUUGGUACUUGUACCAACUGGAUGAGCAGCGAACGGGUGAGUAACGCGUGGGGAAUCUGCCUUUGAGCGGGGGACAACAUUUGGAAACGAAUGCUAAUACCGCAUAAAAACUUUAAACACAAGUUUUAAGUUUGAAAGAUGCAAUUGCAUCACUCAAAGAUGAUCCCGCGUUGUAUUAGCUAGUUGGUGAGGUAAAGGCCCACCAAGGCGAUGAUACAUAGCCGACCUGAGAGGGUGAUCGGCCACAUUGGGACUGAGACACGGCCCAAACUCCUACGGGAGGCAGCAGUAGGGAAUCUUCGGCAAUGGACGAAAGUCUGACCGAGCAACGCCGCGUGAGUGAAGAAGGGUUUCGGAUCGUAAAACUCGGUUGGUAGAGAAGAACGUUGGUGAGAGUGGAAAGCUCAUCAAGUGACGGUAACUACCCAGAAAGGGACGGCUAACUACGUG
rnacentral:rRNA from 1 species